rnacentral:rRNA from 1 species
GGAGUUUGGACCGUGUCUCAGUUCCAAUGUGGGGGACCUUCCUCUCAGAACCCCUACUGAUCGUCGCCUUGGUGGGCCGUUACCCCGCCAACCAGCUAAUCAGACGCAGGUCCAUCCCUCACCGAUAAAUCUUUGGCGAUAAAGCCAUGUGACUCCAUCGCAUUAUCAGGUAUUAAUCCCAGUUUCCCGAGGCUAUCCCUGUGUAAGGGGCAGGUUACCUACGCGUUACUCACCCGUCCGCCGCUAUCCUCUGCAUCAAUCCACCGAAGUCUCAAUCAACAGAUUCCCGCUCGACUUGCAUGUGUUAGGCACGCCGCCAGCGUUCAUC